CAACCAUCAAGCCCCAGGCUUGUGUUGGGGACCUGCGGCUGCCGCAGGCCCUGAAAACCAGUGGCGGGCUCGCUAGUCACACCGAGCGUAGUAGCAUACACAUCGCUCAGGGCGUGCUGCGGGUUCCGGCCGUUAAACCCCUUUUUUACCCAA
rnacentral:misc_RNA from 2 species